GAGGAACAGUUGACUUGAAGAAGCAAACCUUCAGAAGUGUUUUGGUUCAUGUGAAGUUUCUUCAGUAGCACGAGCAGCUAAUGAAUUGGUGAAAACAAUCUUUGGAGAUCCUAUCAAAGAUCAGAUCCCUACUUUCAAGGCAUAAUGAUGAGCAGCCACUGAAUAUUACAGGACAACUUAUUCUCCGUGGCCAAAAUGGCUACUUUCAGUCGGGUCAGGUUAGUUACAGAUUCUUUGAGAGUUUGAAGCAAGCUGGUACAUGUCCUCCCCUUGGAACCUAAUCUUAGACACACCACAACGAAUCACUAGACUCUUCUUUGCUCCUUGGGUAUAAUAAGCUAUGGUAAGUCUAUGGAAUGGGAAGCCAAGAAAAAAAGAUACUGAAAGAAUUCUACAGAAAAUGUGCGCUCGUUUAUAUGGUUCUAGUGGUGCUAGAAUAGGUCAAGGACAGAGUUACCUAUGUUGCGCAUCACACCCCAUUCCAGGCUGCAGAAGGUUUUUGCUAUAUAUAUAUGGGGGUUUCAUUGGCAAGAUCGUACAUAGAAGUUUCUGGGAAGACAGAAUAUUUUCAUGAGCUAGUCACAGAGCCAGCUCAACCUUUGGAGGUUCUGUCAGAAGACUUACCAGUUCGCUGUGUUAUGGUCUGAUAGAACCAAAGGUGUAUAUUGAUAGAACCGCCCAACCUCCCAUUCUUGAUCUCCACAAACCAGAGACUCAAGCCAAUACGAUCUUGCUCAUCAAGAGAAGCAAGCUCAAGACUCACCAACUAACCCCCUCACAUAUUCCUCUUAGGUCCUCUUAUAUAGUGCGAGGCCCAAUAACAACUGUAACAAACUCUAUACCACACGUGUAACCUUUUAUUAAACUCAUAACAACUCCUCUCCUCUCUCUA